rnacentral:rRNA from 1 species
ACAUGCCUACAUCAUAACCUUAAUGCACUGGAUCCCAUUAGAACUCUGCAGUUAAUCAUGCUUAGGAUAGCAUAGUACUCGAAUGGGUGACCGCCCAGGAAGUCCUAGUGUUUUACAUGCC